GUCUACGGCCAUGCCACCCUGAACAAGCCCGAUUCUGUCUGAUCUCGGAAGCUAAGCAAGGUCGGGCCUGGUUAGUACUUGUAUGGGAGACCACUCAGGAAUACCAGGUGCUGUAGGCG
rnacentral:rRNA from 1 species